GCUCGAUAUCACCAGUCCGAGAGUCAGAGUCUGAAGAGAGAGAGAGAGAAGAGAGAGAGAGAGAGUGUGUGUGUGAGUUCAAGAAAACGUCUGUGGAAGGGAGUCCAAACCAAACCCUUGCUGUGGCACGUCUCGGGAUCAAUCCGGUGAAACCCCGUCGCUAGAGAUCCAAGUGCAAAGCUUCUGAAGAAGGCGCCUUCAUCGGAGGAGGUCUCCGUCACCCCUUCGGUCCGUGGAUUCGAACAAAAGCGAGCCGUUCCCCUUUGUCGGUUUCCAAUCUGUCUUCCGCCGUGAAUAGCUUUUAUCUCUUGGGAAGCUGCUUCCGCUUUAUUUCGGUUACUUUGCAAGUGGUACACCACACCCGGUGCCCCAAGCAAACGCCGGUCUUGCUUCGGCCUUCGGCUGCGGAAGAAAGUGGACGAGCAUUAGUUUAUGCAGACGAAGGCGCAAGAAAAAGGUUCGGAUCUCGAGCACUUUUCCGGUGGGGCUGUGGUCCAAAGGUUUCUAUUUCUGGCAAAAAAAGUUGCAAUUUUGACCCUCGAGUUCUAAUUUUUCAGCAAGGUGCUCGGUUUCUUACUUGCUUGAUCCCCCUUUUUGUUUCUAGUUGUGGUAAAAAGGAUCGAGUUAUCGGGCGAUUUCUGUGACCUGGAUACUGGUUCUUUCUGAUUUUUGGAAUACCGGAGUGUGAUUCUUUAAACGGAGGGUGUAAUUUGGGGAUGUUGCAACCCAGAAGUUCUUUCUUGGAAUCUGCUUCUGCCAUUCCUUUUUCUUCCUAUGGGUUUGAAAACAAGGACUCGGUCUUUCGAUGGCUCAAACAGAGUUGGUGAUGCCUACCUGUAUCUGGAUUACUAAUAAUUUGAACUGAUGCAUCAAAGAUUUCAUCUCUUUGAUUGGCUCAUAUAGGCAGUUUAAUCCCUACCCUCGAGAAAGAUGGUGCCUUCAGGACCCCCUACUCCGGUUGGGGGAGGCCAGUCGGUCCCGGCCUCGCUUCUCCGAACAAACUCUGCCAUGUCGAGAGGAGCCCAGCCUGGUUCUCUCCCUUCUCAGCAGCCAGCUUCGCCCUUGGUUUCUCCUCGCACCCAAUUCGACAAUAUUGGUAAUGGUAAUGGCAACAACAUGAACUUGUUGGGUAACUACACCAACAUAUCAUCGCUCCUCAACCAAUCAACUGGAAAUGGAGUGCCUGUGUCCGGCGGAGGGCUUUCGGCAGCUUCUCUUGGUCUUCAACAACGUGGUGGUGUCGGAAGUGCAGUUGAGAUGCUAAGCUCUGCUGAACUUGAUCCUCUCUCGUUCACUUCAGCAUCUAGCCUAGCCCAAAGACAGUCUUUGCAGAAUCCAUCUAGGAAUCAGCUUGCAGUGGAUCGUUCGCAGAACGAGCAUCGUGAGGGAAUGCACAAGUUUCGGCGACAGUUCUCCUUGCCUCACAUCCAGCAGCAAAUGCUGAGGGGUGGGUUGGGCAAUAUGGGGCCUAUAGCUCCUGUUAAGUUGGAACCACAGAUGGAUCCGUCUGAUAAAACUGGUCCAUCGCAGAACUUGCAGACCUUGUGUAGCUCCAGUGCCACAAAAUUGGAGCCGCAGCAGCUGCACUCUGUUAGAAGUCUGGGCCCAGCAAAACUGGAACGUCAGCAUUCCGAUACAGCUCUUGUUCUGCAACAGCAGCAGCACCAGUUGCUGCAGAUGUCAAGGCCGCCAUCUCAGGCUGCUGCUGCUGCACAGAUGAGUCUCCUGCAACAACAGAGGAUGUUGCAGCUUCAGCAACAACAACAGCAACAGAUACUUCAAACCCGACCACAACAAAGAAUCCAGUUGCAACAGCAGCUUCAACAGGCUUCUAUAAGACCUCAAAUAAAACCCACAUUGUAUGAGCCAGGAACGUGUGCUCGACGUUUGACUCAAUAUAUGUACCACCAGCAGCAUAGACCAGAAGAUAAUAAUAUCAAAUUUUGGAGAAAAUUUGUUGCGGAAUACUUUGCCCCCAAUGCCAGGAAGAGAUGGUGUGUUUCUCUCUAUGGAAGUGGGCGUCAAACUACUGGUGUUUUUCCUCAGGAUGCAUGGCACUGUGAAGUAUGCAACCGUAAACCUGGUCGUGGUUUUGAAACAACUUUUGAAGUUUUGCCACGACUAUAUCAAAUUAAAUAUGCCAGUGGUACUUUGGAGGAACUUCUAUAUGUUGAUAUGCCUCGUGAAUAUCAAAAUGCAUUGGGUCAGAUUGUCCUCGAUUAUGGUAAAGCAAUUCAGGAGAGUGUAUAUGAGCAGUUACGCGUGGUGCGUGAAGGUCAACUGCGGAUUGUUUUCUCUGCUGAAUUGAAGAUAUGUUCGUGGGAGUUCUGUGCCAGGCAGCAUGAGGAGCUUGUUCCUCGAAGGUUGUUAAUACCACAGGUGAGUCAACUUGGGGCCGCCGCGCAGAAAUAUCAGAAUACAGCUCAAAAUUCACCUCCCAGCAUAUCUGCUCAGGACUUGCAAAAUACUUGUAAUUCAUUUGUGGUGUCUGCUCGUCAAUUGGCUAAAACUCUGGAGGUGCCAUUAGUAAAUGAUCUAGGAUAUACGAAAAGAUAUAUCCGUUGCCUUCAGAUAUCGGAGGUGGUUAAUAGUAUGAAAGACCUGAUUGAUUACAGCAGAGAAACCAGGACUGGACCUGUGGAUAGUUUAAACAGCUUCCCACGAAAAGCUUCUUUUGGACUGCACCCUCAACAAACCCAACAACCCAAGGAUCACCAGAUGGUUGCCCAAAACUCAAUCCACAGUGAUCAGAGCUCUUCUCAUGUAAAUAGUGUUCAGAUUGCUGGUUGUAAUGGUGCAAUGAAUGUUGAGAAUUCCCUUGGAAAUCUAACCGCGACCUGCACCACAACUUCCAUAUCGGAGCUUCUUCACCAGAACUCUCUAAAUUCAAGGCAAGGAAACCUGGUUAGCACCACAAAUGACCAUAGUGGUGGUGGGAGUGUGGUUCCAAUACCAUCAGCCAGCUCCUCCAAUUCACUGCUCCCUUCCCAACGAAAUGCAUCGUCUCCUUUUCCCUCUCAGAUGCCAUCCGCAUUAAGUGGUAACAAUGCCCCAACCUCUCAUAACCUUGUUCAUUUGAACUCUGUUCCUCCACCUGCAAAUAUGUCAAUGUUGCAACAACCUCCAGUACAGUCUCAUGAAGCCAACCCAACUGGAUCACAGAGUUCUGUGCAGAAAAUCUUACAGGAAAUGAUGUCCUCUCAGCUGAAUGGUGUAGGCAACUUGGAAGAUGAGUUGAAGGGACUUAAUGGUGUUACACCUGCUUUGAACGGAGUUGAUUGUCUGGUCAGAAACGGGAUGGCAAACAACUCGGGUUAUGGAGAAAUGGGUUUCAGUGCCAUGGGUAUGACUGAUCAAUCAACAACUGCUAAUGGAUUAAGAGCGGUUAUGGCAAAUGAUACUAUGACCAUGACUGGUAGGGUUGGGAUGAACCACCUGUCACAGUAUCCACACACCAUGAAUCAUCAGCAGUUGCAGGACAUGGAAAGCAGGCUUUUGAGUGGGUCUGGACAUGUUAAUGGUUUUGACAAUCUUCAGUUUGAUUGGAAAUCCUCACCUUAAAGAGUGAAACAGACUUAUUUUGCAACAAUAGUACAUGGGCAAUAGCUGAAGGACUUUUACCACCACCUCAUUUACAUGUGUUCCAGUCCAUUGCAGCCCAUGUAAUUCUCACUUUCUGUAUUAAUCUUAUGUCUAGUUUAGCUUGAUUUGCAUCUGAGGCAUCCCACAUUUAUAAUGAAUUAGUGACAACUUUUUCAUCAAGGGACAUCAUGGUAAGCAUCAUAUUUACAAAAGGAGAGCAAGCAAGCAGAUUAGAGUAGCUUCCUUGUGCUAGCUUGCAUGCUAUGCAUACAGCAGAAAGGUAUUUUCAAAGUAUCAGCUUAAAUCAGUGGAGGUUUACGCGAAAGAGAAAAAAAUUUAAGCUCUGAUGGUUUAUUUUGGCACCAAAUACACAUCAAGCCUCUGUGGUGGAGGAAACAGAUUUUGACAGUUAAUUCUCUUGAGGUUGCAGUUUGCUCAGUUCCUCCUUGCAGUUGGAUCCUCUUAUUUAGAACCACGAUCUCAUCUUGGAAUGGAUUGUUGGUUGAUCAGAAUAUAAUAUUAGAAUGUCAUGUGGAUCAGUUGGUAUAACAGUUCUGAUACUUGGGAUAUCUGGACUGGAAUUCACAAAGAAGAGCAAAUUUUGCAGGAAUAAGCAUGGCAGAUAACAAUUGUUCAUGAACCGACUAUAGUGCAGUGAUGUCAGGUAUGCAAGGAAAUUUGUUUUUUUUGGUAUAUUAGAAGAUAUAUAUAUGUACUGUUCGAAUUACUUUUAAGGUUACAUGUCCAUAAAUGCCUCUCUUCUUGUAAUCUUGAAAGUUCUUUUGUGCAUUUAAAGUUUGCUAUGGAUCUUACA